rnacentral:rRNA from 1 species
GAUGAACGCUGACAGAAUGCUUAACACAUGCAAGUCAACUUGAAUUUGGGUUUUUAACUUAGGUUUGGGUGGCGGACGGGUGAGUAACGCGUAAAGAACUUGCCUCACAGCUAGGGACAACAUUUGGAAACGAAUGCUAAUACCUAAUAUUAUGAUAAUAGGGCAUCCUAUAAUUAUGAAACCUAUAAGCGCUGUGAGAGAGCUUUGCGUCCCAUUAGCUAGUUGGAGAGGUAACGGCUCACCAAGGCGAUGAUGGGUAGCCGGCCUGAGAGGGUGAUCGGCCACAAGGGGACUGAGACACGGCCCUUACUCCUACGGGAGGCAGCAGUGGGGAAUAUUGGACAAUGGACCGAGAGUCUGAUCCAGCAAUUCUGUGUGCACGAUGAAGUUUUUCGGAAUGUAAAGUGCUUUCAGUUGGGAAGAAACAAAUGACGGUACCAACAGAAGAAGUAACGGCUAAAUACGUG